AGAGUUUGAUCAUGGCUCAGGACGAACGCUGGCGGCGUGCCUAACACAUGCAAGUCGAACGGAGUUAAGCCCUUCGGGACUUAGCUUAGUGGCGAACGGGUGAGUAACGCGUGAGCAACCUACCUUUCAGUGGGGGACAACAGUUGGAAACGACUGCUAAUACCGCAUGAAACUUAUCGGGGGCAUCCCUGAAAAGUCAAAGCUUUAUGUGCUGAAAGAUGGGCUCGCGUCUGAUUAGCUAGAUGGCGGGGUAACGGCCCACCAUGGCGACGAUCAGUAGCCGGUCUGAGAGGAUGAACGGCCACAUUGGGACUGAGAUACGGCCCAGACUCCUACGGGAGGCAGCAGUGGGGAAUAUUGGGCAAUGGGGGAAACCCUGACCCAGCAACGCCGCGUGAAGGAAGAAGGCCUUCGGGUUGUAAACUUCUUUUACCAGGGACGAAGGACGUGACGGUACCUGGAGAAAAAGCAACGGCUAACUACGUGCCAGCAGCCGCGGUAAUACGUAGGUUGCAAGCGUUGUCCGGAUUUACUGGGUGUAAAGGGCGUGUAGGCGGAGGAGCAAGUCAGAUGUGAAAUCCCGGGGCUCAACCCCGGAACUGCAUUUGAAACUGUUUCCCUUGAGUAUCGGAGAGGCAAGCGGAAUUCCUAGUGUAGCGGUGAAAUGCGUAGAUAUUAGGAGGAACACCAGUGGCGAAGGCGGCUUGCUGGACGACAACUGACGCUGAGGCGCGAAAGCGUGGGGAGCAAACAGGAUUAGAUACCCUGGUAGUCCACGCUGUAAACGAUGAAUACUAGGU
rnacentral:rRNA from 1 species